UACGAAGGGGGCAAGCGUUGUUCGGAAUUACUGGGCGUAAAGGGCGCGCAGGCGGCCGAUCAAGUCAGAUGUGAAAGCCCCGGGCUCAACCCUGGGAAUAGCAUUUGGGACUGGUCGGCUAGAGUUCGGGAGAGGAGAGUGGAAUUCCCAGUGUAGAGGUGAAAUUCGUAGAUAUUGGGGAAGAACACCCGGUGGCGAAGGCGGCUCUCUGG
rnacentral:rRNA from 1 species